GAUCAAGCGUCUGAAGGGCAUCUGGUGGAUGCCUUGGCACUGAGAGGCGAUGAAGGACGUAGCACGUUGCGAUAAGUCACGGGGAGCCGCGAGCAGGCAUUGAUCCGUGAAUUUCCGAAUGGGGAAACCCACCGCGUCAAGCGGUAUCCCACACUGAAUCCAUAGGUGUGGGAAGCGAACCCGGCGAACUGAAACAUCUAAGUAGCCGGAGGAAAGGACAUCAACCGAGACUCCGCUAGUAGUGGCGAGCGAACGCGGACCAGGCCAGUCAUUCGAUCUACAUAACCGGAACCGUCUGGAAAGUCGGGCCAUAGCGGGUGAUAGCCCCGUACGGAUAAACCGGAUCGAAUGCUCGAGUAGGGCGGGGCACGUGAAACCCUGUCUGAACAUGGGGGGACCACCCUCCAAGCCUAAGUACUCCUCAGUGACCGAUAGUGCACCAGUACCGUGAGGGAAAGGUGAAAAGCACCCCGACAAGGGGAGUGAAACAGUUCCUGAAACCGGAUGCCUACAAGCAGUCGGAGCCUCUUCAUGGGGUGACGGCGUACCUUUUGUAUAAUGGGUCAGCGACUUAGAGUAUGCAGCGAGCUUAAGCCGGUAGGUGGAGGCGCAGCGAAAGCGAGUCUGAAUAGGGCGACCGAGUUGCAUGCUUUAGACCCGAAACCUGAUGAUCUAGCCAUGGGCAGGUUGAAGGUGCGGUAACACGCACUGGAGGACCGAACUCACGCCUGUUGAAAAAGUCGGAGAUGACCUGUGGCUAGGGGUGAAAGGCCAAUCAAAUCAGGAAAUAGCUGGUUCUCCGCGAAAGCUAUUUAGGUAGCGCGUCGCGUAUUGCCGCGGGGGGUAGAGCACUGGAUGGGCUAGGGGGGCGCGAGCCUUACCAAACCUAACCAAACUCCGAAUACCCGUGAGCAGAGCGCGGCAGACAGACGGUGGGUGCUAAGGUCCAUCGUCGAGAGGGAAACAGCCCAGACCGCCAGCUAAGGUCCCCAAAUCACGGCUAAGUGGGAAAGGAUGUGGGAAGGCCAUGACAACCAGGAGGUUGGCUUAGAAGCAGCCAUCCUUUAAAGAAAGCGUAAUAGCUCACUGGUCUAGUUAAGCCGGCCUGCGCCGAAAAUGUAUCGGGGCUCAAGCCGUGUACCGAAGCUGCGGGUGUGAUCUUCGAUCACGCGGUAGCGGAGCGUUCCGUAAGCCUGCGAAGGGUGUCCGUGAGGCCGCCUGGAGGUAUCGGAAGUGAGAAUGCUGACAUGAGUAGCGACAAACAGUGUGAGAAACACUGUCGCCGAAAGUCCAAGGGUUCCUGCGCAAGGUUAAUCCACGCAGGGUGAGCCGGCCCCUAAGGCGAGGCCGAAAGGCGUAGUCGAUGGGAACCAGGUUAAUAGUCCUGGGCCUGGCGGAGGUGACGGAUGGGAAAGCGUGUAUGUCCUUAUCGGAUUGGACAUGCUGUGGACCUGUUCCAGGAAAUAGCCCCGCCGUAUAGACCGUACCCCAAACCGACACAGGUGGACUGGUAGAGUAUACCCAGGCGCUUGAGAGAAUGGUGUUGAAGGAACUCGGCAAAUUGCCCUCGUAACUUCGGAAGAAGAGGGCCCCGUUGUGGCGCAAGCCAUGGCGGGGGGCACAGACCAGGGGGUAGCGACUGUUUACUAAAAACACAGGGCUCUGCGAAGCCACACAAGGCGACGUAUAGGGUCUGACGCCUGCCCGGUGCCGGAAGGUUAAGAGGAGAGGUGCAAGCCUUGAAUUGAAGCCCCGGUAAACGGCGGCCGUAACUAUAACGGUCCUAAGGUAGCGAAAUUCCUUGUCGGGUAAGUUCCGACCUGCACGAAUGGCGUAACGACUUCCCCGCUGUCUCCAACACCAACUCAGCGAAAUUGAACUCUCCGUGAAGAUGCGGAGUUCCCGCGG
rnacentral:ncRNA from 1 species